AUGUCAGAUGACUAUCGUCGAACAUGCACGUCCCUGAACGAGGUGGAGCAGUUGGUGUUGCUUGACAUUAGGGGUAUGUUGCAGUCCAUGGGUAAAGACAUUGUUGAUUUCGCGCUUCCAAGCAUCGAUGAUGCAUUUGACCCAACCAAGGGCGAGUGUCGAGAGGUCAUAGAGGAAUCAACCGUUGAGUUUGACAUGGAUGACACUAAAUUGGCAUCUUCCCUGAACUUGGAGCAGAGGGCCACAUACGAUGAGAUACUCACGGUUAUUGAACGCGAUGAUGGGGGUGUAUUCUUUGUUGACGACCCUGGAGGUACAGGGAAGACCUUCCUAUACAGGGCGAUGCUUGCCAAGGUGAGGAGCAAGGGCAAGAUUGGUAUCGCUACCGCGACAUCGAGCGUCGCCGCUUCUAUCAUGCCUGGCGGCAGGACUGCCCACUAGAGGUUCAAGAUACCAUUGAGUUGCGAUGAUGGAGCCUCGUGCAGCUUCACCAAGCAGAGUGGGACUGCCAAGCUGCUUAGGAUGGCCUCAUUGAUAAUAUGGGACGAGGCCAGCAUGACGAAGCGAAAAGCGGUCGAGGCAUUGGACAAUGGCAUGCGUGACAUAAUGGGAAUAUGCGACUGA
rnacentral:rRNA from 1 species